rnacentral:tRNA from 1 species
GCAUUGGUGGUUCAGUGGUAGAAUGCUCGCCUUCCAUGCAGGGGACCCGGACUUGAUUCUGGCCAAUUCA